CAAGAGUUGGACACUUAACCAACUGAACUAUCCAGUGUUCAGUUCUACCACCUCAAGCAAACCAAUAUAGCAAGGAGGAAAUUUCUACUGUAUAAUAGAUUUGGAGGCAUCUCCAGAGGUCCCUUUCCAACAGAAGCCAAAGCAGAUUUUUUUGUUCAAGACAGGCACGAGGACUUACGUUUGAGGGGUAUGGAGGCCUUGUUUAUUGAGAUCCUGAGACCUUAAC